CGCAAGCCCGCAAAUCACGCCGCGAACCGCCGCAGACUGACCCCGACUCCCUACGCCCGCCCCCAAUCCAGCCGCAAUCCACCCUGCGAAUGCGGCGACCGUCGCGUUCCGGCCGGCCGCCCGUCCGCCCGCCGCUAUGGCACUAUCCACUAACCAGACACAGCGUCCAGCCAAGCUUUUGCCGCCGCCCACUUCUCUCCCACCUCCCCUCCACUCUUUUGCUUGUCGCGGGGUUAGAAUCCCAUGGCGCUAUCGGCCGAGAUCCGCUUCGGCCACCAGAUCCCCUAUCCCACUACGACACUGACUCCUACGAGGAGGAGGAAGAAGAGGAAGAGGAAGACGAGGAGGAGUUCGAGGGGGUGGAGGGCGGAGGAGAUGGAUGAGGUGACGGUUUCGUCUCCGCUGAUGCUGCCGGCAACGGAGGCCAGGGGAGGGGUGUCCGUGGUCGAGAUGGUGAUGGGGGCGCUUCGGAGGUCGCUCAUGUUGUGCAGCAGCAGCGCCGGCGCCGGCGCCGGCGUGCGCGAGCCGGAGCAGGAGGAGGACGGGGUGACUCCCCCGGGUGGUAUGCAAAUAGGGGGGCCAACGGAUGUGCGGCACGUCUCACACGUCACCUUCGACCGCUUCAUUGGCUUCCUCGACCUCCCCGCUGACCUCGAGCCCGACGUGCCUCGCCCCGUGCCGAGCGCAAGGUCUCCUGCUUGUGGUGAUGAUGCAGGAGAGCCAUGGUGGGUAGGUGAAAGCAUACCUCGAUCGCAAGUCACUGGCAAAUUCUCUGAACGACAUAAAGACCGUAGUUAUGCAACUUCACGACCUCAUCAGUGUUAUAGACUUAUAGUCAUCAUUGUUACACUACUAUUUAUGGGCAUUGCGACAACCAAGAUUCUUGUUGUCAUCUCGUCCCAGCUUCUGGUUGCGGGAUUCAUAUUUGGGAAUGCAUGCAAGACUGUAUUUGAGGCCCUUAUAUUUGUAUUCAUCAUGCAUCCAUUUGAGGUUGCUAACCGCUGUGUUAUCGACGAAACACAGGUACCUGGAGAGCAAACCAACGCAUUGGCACCCUACCCACACUGUAAAUCUCAAGGACAUCUUGGAUGUGAACAAGAUUAACAUGUCUCUCUCAGUCCAGCACACCAUGAACUUUCAAAACAUCCGGGAGAAGAACAUCAGGAGGUCUGAGCUCGUUAUGGAGUUGAAGAAAAUAUUCGAGGAGAUGUCCAUUCGGUACCACCUUCUACCCCAGAAAGUUGAACUCACCUACGUCGACUCGAACCCACUGCCCAUGGGUCCUUCUCAUACAAGAUAGAAGAUGGGUGAAGACUUUUAAGUCUCAUACUGACAACUUGAUCCGUUUCAUGGGAUCUGACAACUGAUGGCUAGCUGUGCAGUCUGUUCUGAAGUUACUAAAACUCUGCAUAGUAGAUAUUAGCUCGUAGAAUAAUUUGUCAGAUAAUGCAUUUGUAAGCGGUGAUGGUACUGGUGAUCAAUGCUUUGGGAUUGGCCAUUACACCAUUUGAUUAUCUACACCGUUUGGUGCAUCACAAUCGAAAAUGUUGCGAAAUAGCCACUACUAAAGAAAUUCAGCUGGGAGAUUGAAGUGGGCC